GGAGGCUUAGCUCAGCUGGGAGAGCAUCUGCCUUACAAGCAGAGGGUCGGGGGUUCGAUCCUCUCAGCCUCCACCA
rnacentral:tRNA from 1 species